UCAUUGUUGUGGGCAGAUGUUAUGCGCC
rnacentral:piRNA from 1 species